CAUGGGACCAUGUGUACGGUCGGUAACAACUAUGACUUCAAGGAAAAUCCUGAAUCUCUGAACUGAUCUGGGUGAUUUUUGGAUAUGUUGGUCACUCAGGCCAGAGCUAUCAAGGGAUGUAACAUUUGUGGGGUUUUAUGCUCUUUUGGGGUGUUUAAAAAAAACCCCAAAAAAACAACUCUGUGCUUGGAGAUAAUUGGAUUAGAAUUAGUACAGUUACUGAUCCAAUUAUCUCCAAGGCAGAGGGGACGGAUUGUGUGCUGUGUGUGGGAGUGUUGUGCCUUGUAACCUUAUUGUUAUUGGUCUUUGAAGUUGCAAAUCAGUCUAUCAUCAGGUCCGUUUGGGGGUACCCCUUGCAUGAGGAUUGUCAUAUAAGGCCAAGUGUGGCUCCCAUUAACCCCUUAAGGACUGAGCCAAAUGUAC